GAAAUGCGAUAAGUAAUGUGAAUUGCAGAAUUCAGUGAAUCAUCGAAUCUUUGAACGCACAUUGCGCCUGCCAGUAUUCUGUCGGGCAUGCAUGUUCGAGCGUCAUUUCAACCAUCAAGCCCCCGGGCUUGAGUUGGGGACCUGCGGCUGCCCGCAGGCCCUGAAAACCAGUGGCGGGUUCGCUGUCACCCCGGUCGUAGUAGUAUCAUCUCGUCCAGGGCGAGGCUGCGGGCUCCUGCCGCUAAACGCGACCUUAACGCAUACCAAGGUUGACCUCGGAUCAGGUAGGAAGACCCGCUGAACUUAA
rnacentral:misc_RNA from 1 species